rnacentral:rRNA from 1 species
AUAGGUCUCAGUUCGGAUUGUAGGCUGNAACCCGCCUGCAUGAAGUUGGAAUUGCUAGUAAUCGCGGAUCAGCAUGCCGCGGUGAAUACGUUCCCGGGCCUUGUACACACCGCCCGUCACACCAUGGGAGCCGGUAAUACCCGAAGUCAGUAGCCUAACCGCAAGGAGGGCGCUGCCGAAGGUAGGAUUGGCGACUGGGGUGAAGUCGUAACAAGGUACC